AGAAGGGGAGAGACAACUCUCUUGUGGUUGUCAGUAAAGCACCAGAAAGAGAAGAGAAGCAAGUAGAAGAAUUUCAGCAUCUGCUGAGAACAUACAAGACAUAAGACAAAGUUGCAUCUUUCUUUAAGGCCAGUACCUUGGGAGGGACAAUGACAUCACUUCCUGAAUCCUCCCAGUUUUCUAUUUCCUGCCCUGCUUCCAUCAACAUCCAGAGCGGGAAACACCUCCAUCCUGCCUCUCCCUGCCAUGGCCUCCCUGCUCCUCUUCUGUGUGGCCUUUUGUCUCCUGGGAACAGGGUCCAUGGAUGCUGGUGUUACCCAGACCCCAAGGAAUAGGAUCGCAAAGACAGGAAAGAAGAUUAUGCUGGAAUGUUCUCAGACUAGGGGCGAUAACCGAAUGUACUGGUAUCGACAAGACCCAGGACAGGGACUACAGUUGAUCUACUACUCCCUUGAUGUUGAAGAUAUAAACAAAGGAGAGAUCUCUGAUGAAUACAGUGUCUCUCGACAGGAACAGUCUAAAUUCUCCCUGUCCCUAGAGUCUGCCAUGCCCAAACACACAGCUCUUUACUUCUGUGCCACCAGUUAUUAGCACAGUGCUUCUUGGCCACCUGCUCUCUACACAGAAAGACAGACACACGGGAGAGUCAUUUGCUCUGAAGGGCACCUGGAUGUGGGUUGUGGGAUGUGGGGUGUUUAGAGCUUUCAGUGGGCUUAGGCAGCGUGAGUCUCGGUCUGAGCUAAGGACCACUUUCGAUCAAUGUUCUUGAGCCACGUGACCUUUAGUGACUAUGAAACCACACGCUACACUGCAUCAAUCUGCCCUGUCUAUUUAUUUUGCCUAGUGAGCUAGCCUAAUAGUGACCUUUCAGGAGAAUGAACUUGAGCAUUUGACAGAAGCUCAUGAUUUUCAACAAGAGCAUUUCUUAUGAGCUCCAUCCAGUGUCAUUUUUACGAUCCCUUUGCCAUUAUGUCCACCCACUUUGCAACAUCCCACACUUUGUUCUGUUCCCACUGACAGCUCCUUUAUCCUGUCUAACCUUUCUCUGCCCCAGUUCUUUCCAGUUCAGCUUCACCACUUAGCUCUAUAUUUGGUUGCCUUCCUAUUAAAAACAAAAUAGCUGGCUUGUUUUCUAGAACUUCACUGUAAGUAAAUUUAAUUAUCGUUAAAUCUGACUCAGAAGUUGAAGUUCAAGUACCAGAGGCUGUAAUUUACAAGAGCAAUUUUUCAUCUACUACCCCACACUUUGAUCUCUGCUGAGAUUCAUUUUAACCUGCAGAUGCAGAUAGACUUGCUUUAUUACCUGGAUAUACUGAAUUUCAAAAAACAAAAUUCCCUGUCCCCAGCAUGAGGCCAAAGCUAGGAACUUGGAGAUGCCCCUUUUCUUUCCAGGCACUGGAAUAAGCCCCGGGUUCCCCCACAGUGGGGUUUCUUUUAGGAGCCAGUGAGGCCCAGGCA